GGAUGUGGAGAACUGGUGCCCUGGGUGACACUGAGCGCUGCACGCAGCUGUGGGACAGGGUUUGUUAAAGCAUCAGCUGCCAGUGUUUGUGGCUGCAUCACUGCAAAUCACCUGUGGCAGCCUGGGCUCCUCAGACCCAGCUGGUUCUGAUAAUUUGCUGCUUAUAUCUCAGCUGAGGCUGCUCAACAGAACAGCAGCAUCUCUCUGAGGACAGCCCUGGCUCUGGCAAGGGAACCGAGGCACUGGGGACAAGGACCAGCAAGGACCAUACCGGGGCAGAGCUGCUGCAGGAAGGUUGACCCACAGAGGGGGUUUGGGCUUCUCUUCACCCCAGUGCUGCGAUCCUUGGAGCUGUGAGCACCUCUGCUGGAGCCUGGUCCCACCACCAGCUGCUCCAAGGGGAUUUUUGGCACCCACUGGCCUCGAGCAUGUGGAGAGGGAAGGGAGGAGAGCUCCGGCCUUACCCCGGUAGUGCUGGAUCACGCCCUUGACGUAGUUGGCCCAGUGUGGCUGCCCGGGGCUCAGGGGGCUGCUUUCACUGGGAGCUGGGAACUGCACCCUGCGGGGCUCAUCCGCUGCCUCCGAGGUGGUGAGGAUGGAGAUGGUCCCGUCCUGCGUGGGGGACCCCACCAGCACCGUCCCCAGCUGCAGGGCCUGGCGGGGGGGACACGGGCUGAGCGCCAGCCCCCUGGCGAUGUCCCCCUUGGUGGCAGGGGACAGCCGGGGGCUGCUCCCCCCCACACCGAUGGCACCCUACAAGCAUCACCCUAAACCCUUCCCACGUGUCAGCACCCAACAUCCCGGCCUUAGAGGGAUCCCCAAAAAAAAAAUC